rnacentral:rRNA from 1 species
AACGGGUGAGUAACACGUGGGCAAUCUGCCCUKCACUCUGGGACAAGCCCUGGAAACGGGGUCUAAUACCGGAUAUSACYSUYKYGGGCAUCYKUGAKGGUKKAAAGCUCCGGCGGUGMAGGAUGAGCCCGCGGCCUAUCAGCUUGUUGGUGAGGUAACGGCUCACCAAGGCGACGACGGGUAGCCGGCCUGAGAGGGCGACCGGCCACACUGGGACUGAGACACGGCCCAGACUCCUACGGGAGGCAGCAGUGGGGAAUAUUGCACAAUGGGCGAAAGCCUGAUGCAGCGACGCCGCGUGAGGGAUGACGGCCUUCGGGUUGUAAACCUCUUUCAGCAGGGAAGAAGCGAAAGUGACGGUACCUGCAGAAGAAGCGCCGGCUAACUACGUGCCAGCAGCCGCGGUAAUACGUAGGGCGCAAGCGUUGUCCGGAAUUAUUGGGCGUAAAGAGCUCGUAGGCGGCUUGUCRCGUCGGUUGUGAAAGCCCGGGGCUUAACCCCGGGUCUGCAKUCGAUACGGGCWRGCUAGAGUKCGGUAGGGGAGAUCGGAAUUCCUGGUGUAGCGGUGAAAUGCGCAGAUAUCAGGAGGAACACCGGUGGCGAAGGCGGAUCUCUGGGCCGWUACUGACGCUGAGGAGCGAAAGCGUGGGGAGCGAACAGGAUUAGAUACCCUGGUAGUCCACGCCGUAAACGGUGGGCACUAGGUGUGGGCRACAUUCCACGUYGUCCGUGCCGCAGCUAACGCAUUAAGUGCCCCGCCUGGGGAGUACGGCCGCAAGGCUAAAACUCAAA